rnacentral:rRNA from 1 species
AGUGAACGCUGGCGGUAGGCCUAACACAUGCAAGUCGAACGGCAGCACAGUAAGAGCUUGCUCUUACGGGUGGCGAGUGGCGGACGGGUGAGGAAUACAUCGGAAUCUACUUUUUCGUGGGGGAUAACGUAGGGAAACUUACGCUAAUACCGCAUACGACCUACGGGUGAAAGCAGGGGAUCUUCGGACCUUGCGCGAUUGAAUGAGCCGAUGUCGGAUUAGCUAGUGGGCGGGGUAAAGGCCCACCAAGGCGACGAUCCGUAGCUGGUCUGAGAGGAUGAUCAGCCACACUGGAACUGAGACACGGUCCAGACUCCUACGGGAGGCAGCAGUGGGGAAUAUUGGACAAUGGGCGCAAGCCUGAUCCAGCCAGACCGCGUGGGUGAAGAAGGCCUUCGGGUUGUAAAGCCCUUUUGUUGGGAAAGAAAAGCAGCAGGUUAAUACCCCGCUGUUCUGACGGUACCCAAAGAAUAAGCACCGGCUAACUUCGUG